CCCUCUACGCAUGCGCGUAAUUUACUUCGGCGUACUUCGGCCUACUUCGUGAACUAUCAUUUGUUUUUUUCCCCAUGCAUUCCGUGUUACCGUGUUUUGUUCAAGAGAUAUUCCUAGUGAUUUUAUAUUGUUGAAAUUAAGUUUACUGCUUUUAAGAUUGAUAAAAUACCUGCUACAUGUAAUGAAAAAAUAGCUUAGUCUGGAAGUUGACCGUGGUCAGCCAUGUGUGGAAGAAGAAAGCAAGCAAUUUUUCGAAGUUUUAUACAAUCGGAAGAAUUUUGUGAGUCCAUGCGCAAGGGCCAUCUCCCUAAUUCUCGGAAGUUUAUCUUGUUUGUGGACAAGAAAAUGUCCCUAGAAACAUCAGACGUAGUCCAUUAUGAAGAUUAAUCCUACUGUAUAAAAAAAGCAUCAAGGAAACCCCAGAGUUGGAACUUUGAAGAAAGUGACAGAUACAAUUACUAAAAUUGUUGAAUUGUCAAAGCUGUUGGAUGAUUUGUACAUGCAGAUUUGUGUGGUGUUUCAAGAUUAUUUUUUUUUUUAAUUAUUGUGAUUAAACAAUUCUAAUAUGAAUAUUUUACAUUUAUAUUUAUUUAAAAUGUUGGCUUAUAUUAACAAUGCAUUUUGUAAAUAAAUAUUUAUAAAGGUAUAGCUCAUUUAUUUAUUUUAAUUUUUGAAAAUUUACCAGCACAUAAACAAAGGAACUAUGUGCUACGAUUAUGGUUCUUAUGUCUUACAAUGGCAUAUUCUGUACGUUAAUCAACUAGCAGUGCUGCUAAAUAUUAUGUUUUUUUGUUGUUUAAUGUUUCAAUUUUGUAACAGAAACUAUGUCUCCUAAGCAAAACUUAUUGUGGGAAUUUUUAGCAAAAAUUUUCGGGAUUUACAUAUCAUUAUAAGCUCUAUUGGUGUGUUUUUGCACUAAAAUAAUAAUAAAUACAGUAAAUGGAUAUUUAUUCAAAACUAGAUGAUUUAAGUACAAUGUAUUUAUACUUUUUAUUACUUCACAAGUUAACAUACUUUUUCAUUGUAGUAUAAACACUGGUCCUACUUCCUACAAAUAUAUAAACUUAAAAAUUUUAAGGUUCAUAUGCUUUUCAAUUGUGCUUUUUACACUUAACCAAUUUGGUUACAGUUUGAUACAUAGGUAGCCCAUAUACUGGAUUAACACAAAUGCUAUAGAGUAACUUAUCAUUAAAAGUAUCCAAAAAACCCAUACUUUGGUACUUUUUAAUACUGUAUGCCUCAAAGUGUGUUGCUUUGUAAUGAUUUUUCACUAAUAAAAAAUUCCACCCCUCAGGGAGGGGUGAUAAGUAUCAUAAAAAUACCUCACAAUUAGGCUAAAUGAAGCAUAAGGCAAGGUUGAGUAUCCUACUAAUCUUUAAAUUAUGUAAUUUUUUGAGUUUAAAAGUUUAUAACGUAAUGAAGUCUUUGCUACUUACCUGAUUUUGAUAAAAUUUAAAACAGGAUUCGUAUCUUCUAGAUUAUAGUCUAACAAAUAAUGGAGUUAAUGUAAGAAUGUGAGUAAAUAUAAUAUUUUUAACUAUGACAUUUUAUCAUAUUUAGAUAAAGAAUACCAUUUUUUAAUUGGGAAGAAGUCAGGGCUUAGUAUAUUCUAAAUGGCUCCUUCUGACUUCUCAUACAUUCGACAAAAUAAAGAGAUUUUAUGUAACUGGAUUUUCCACACAAAACCCUCAAUAUACACUGUACAUGAUUAAAAUUCCACCUCUAAAUUGGGUUUAUAAUAUAAAAUGGUAGAAAGUAAUUUAUUUGGUGUGAAUUGUAAAAUGGCCAUUAAGUAAAACAUGUAGAGGCUUAGAGUUAUGUUUUUGCUCCAAAAGUAAGCUAUAUAGUUAUUAUAAGCACAAAAAUUAAGAGUGCUAUGUAUUUAAUUGCAUUCUAAAAUAGCAUGACUUUACUGUAAUUAUACUGGUUACAAAUUACCCAGAGAAUUUCAUAAAUUAACAUGUACUACACCAUGGAAAAUAACUUUAUCUUUGUAAAUUUUUCAAGUGCUGUAAACAUAACGGUAAAACAAUAUUUUUAUGCUACUGAGUUUCAGUAAUUUUUACAGAACUUUUGUAAA